rnacentral:lncRNA from 1 species
CUAUGGUGGGAAGUAGAUAACAAUGUAUCAGACCCCUUGACUUUUUCCACAUUUGUGAAGUUACAGCUAUUCUAAAAUGGAUUAAAUAAAUAAAUAAAAGGAGAUUUGUUGGCAGUGAGCACAGCAGCAGGACGGUGUGGAAGAGGAAGGCAGCAGGACGGUGUGGAGAGAGGCAGCAUGACGGUGUGGAGAGGAAGGCAGCAUGACGGUGUGGAGAGGAAGCAGAUGACGGUGUGAGAGGAAGGCAGCAUGGAGAGGAAGGCAAAGGACGGUUGGUGGAGAGGAAGGCAGCAGGACGUGUGGAGAGGAAGGCAGCAUGACGGUGUGGAGAGGAAGGCAGCAGGACGGUGUGGAGAGGAAGGCAGCAGGACGGUGUGGAGAGGAAGCAGCAAGGACGGUGUGGAGAGAAAGGCAGCAGGACGGUGUGUGGAGAGGAAAGGAAGCAUGGAGAGGAAGGCAGCAUGACGGUGUGGAGAGGAAGGCAGCAUGGAGAGGAAGGCAGCAUGGAGAGGAAGGCAGCAGGACGGUGUGGAGAAGAGGCAGCAUGAGAGGAAGGCAGCAGGACAGUGUGGAGAGGAAGGCAGCAGGACGGCGUGGAAGCAAGGCAGCAGGACGGGUGGAGAGCAAGGCAGCAGGACGGCGUGGAGAGCAAGGCAGCAGACGGCGUGGAGAGGAAGGCACUGCAGAGGAAGGCAGCAUGGGAGGAAGGCAGCAAAGGCGUGGAGAGGAAGGCAGCAGGAGAGAGGCAGCAUGACGGCGUGGAGAGGAAGGCAGCAUGGAGGAAGGCGCAGCAUGACGGUGUGGAGAGGAAGGCAUCUGUGGAAUGUGUCUCCAUUACCUUUCUGCAGUGAUAACACGGAGUUCCGUUGGCAGUUUAGGAGUGUAGCGCCGGAGUGCUGUCAGACACAAUAGACGACUCUAAUGUACUGUAAUGUAGCACACCCUAAGAGUUUAUACUAUAGUACUUGAAUCAGCACCCUAAGAGGUUAUACUAUAGUACUGUAAUGCAGCACCCUAAGAGUUUAUACUUAGUACUGUAAUGCAGCACCCUAAGAGGUUAUACUAUAGUACUGUCAUGCAG